GGUAUUCGCUAGGGGUGUUGCGCCUGCUUCGGCAAGGCGCGACUGAGACAGUCCCUUUGAACCUGAUUGAGGUAAUCCUCGCGCAGGGAAGCAGCCGACCAGCAGG
rnacentral:ncRNA from 2 species